UGGAAUCUAGAACAGUGUGUAUUCUUGAUCGACCCUUACUUUUUUUAUAUGAAUAUGCUAAUAAGUCAGAGUUAGAAAAUUUUAAUACUAAGAAGUACUCCCUUGGUCCCUCUGAUGCAUAUACCAACUUCGUACUAGAUAAGCGACAAUUAAUAUGGAUCGGAGGAAGUAAAAGAGUACACGACAAAUCUAAUAAUAAUAUAUCUAUUUACCCCCUUGAUGGGUUAGUUUUCUUCUCUUUAUACCUUACUUGUAGCUUGUAAAUAUUGUAUUUGUUGCCCCAUUCUUUAAUAAAGUUUCAGGCUGUGGGGUUUUUUCGCCAUAGUAAGCAGUCAAAAAACAAAUCUAACAAUACCAUGUUCACUUGGCUAAUCUAAACAAUUUCACCUUACAUACUGAUAGUAGUAGUCAAAGUUGGAGCAGUUUCAUGGUACAGUUUCUAAAACACCGCGUAUGUUUUUGCCAGAGUUAGUAGCUGACUUGUAGAUGCAUCCUCUUUGAUCAUGAAUGGACCAUGAAGCCGCCCAAGAUUUGGAGUGUGGCGAGGAGCAGGAACACCACAUUGUUAGCAAUUAACACAAGCAGCCAGAGGCAGAGGAGAAGUUUUGUUUGGGGUUGGUCCUCGCGCACACAUGCAUGUGUGUGUGUGUGUGCGCCCGUGGUCCAGGCCCAGAGACGGAAACGAUACUACUCCUAGUAUAUAUCUGUAUCUAUCUAGCAUAUCAGAGCACGUGCCUUUCGAAUCUUCUACUACUUAUGUUUUGUUCCAACGCGUUAGCCAAGUGUCACAGUCAGGAGAAAACAAUGUAGUACUUGCCUGAUUAUCAGCUAGAACAAGGGGAGGAACCCCGGAUGAAUGUGCAGCUAGCUACUCUCUAGUUCCCACAUGUUAAGCACUGUUUGUGAGCAGUUGCUUUCCAGUUGGUUCCAUGCUAAGUUGCUAAUCAUUUUGGCAUGGAUCAGGGCAAGAACAUUCUCUGGCAGUGACUCCCCUCGUCAUCAUUCAAGUUUUGAGAACAUGCUGCCGCCCUAAGUUGGAGUUUAGGAUGUGUGGGUCCCAGCCCGACAUGGGAGCGGCACACUCUUUGAUAAGGGGCAUGACGUUGGCUACCAGCGACUCCCUUAUAUUGUUGACUUUUCAUCAUAUGCUGCCCCUGGCCCCUAUCAGUUGAGCCUUGGAGCGGACGCACCUCGUCUUGCUGGCACGUGGGCCCUGGCCAGACAUGAAAGGCCACUUCACAUGAGUUGCGUAUUUGUGAGAAUUCUUAAUAUUACAAUUAUUAUGAUGACCACACUA